GAUGAACGCUGGCGGCGUGCCUAAUACAUGCAAGUCGAGCGAACAGACGAGGGGCUUGCUCCUCUGACGUUAGCGGCGGACGGGUGAGUAACACGUGGAUAACCUACCUAUAAGACUGGGAUAACUUCGGGAAACCGGAGCUAAUACCGGAUAAUAUAUUGAACCGCAUGGUUCAAUAGUGAAAGACGGUUUUGCUGUCACUUAUAGAUGGAUCCGCGCCGCAUUAGCUAGUUGGUAAGGUAACGGCUUACCAAGGCAACGAUGCGUAGCCGACCUGAGAGGGUGAUCGGCCGCACUGGAACUGAGACACGGUCCAGACUCCUACGGGAGGCAGCAGUAGGGAAUCUUCCGCAAUGGGCGAAAGCCUGACGGAGCAACGCCGCGUGAGUGAUGAAGGUCUUCGGAUCGUAAAACUCUGUUAUUAGGGAAGAACAAAUGUGUAAGUAACUAUGCACGUCUUGACGGUACCUAAUCAGAAAGCCACGGCUAACUACGUG
rnacentral:rRNA from 1 species